rnacentral:rRNA from 1 species
GACAGAGGGUGCAAACGUUGUUCGGAAUUACUGGGCGUAAAGCGUGCGUAGGUGGUUUGUUAAGUCUGUUGUGAAAGCCCCGGGCUCAACCUGGGAAUGGCAAUGGAUACUGGCAAGCUAGAGUGCGGUAGAGGGUAGCGGAAUUCACGGUGUAGCAGUGAAAUGCGUAGAUAUCGUGAGGAACACCAGAGGCGAAGGCGGCUACCUGGACAAUUGCUGACGCUCAGGCACGAAAGCGUGGGGAGCAAAAGGG